UCUUCCGUAGUAUAGUGGUCAGUAUGCGAGCUUGUCAGGAUUAGGAUUAGGGUUAAACUUGAUUUCUAAAGCCUCACAUUCGCUCGAGACCCGGGUUCAAUUCCCGGCGGGAGAG